rnacentral:rRNA from 2 species
AUUGAACGCUGGCGGCAGGCUUAACACAUGCAAGUCGAGCGGGGUGAUGUAGCUUGCUACAUUACCUAGCGGCGGACGGGUGAGUAAUGCUUAGGAAUCUGCCUAUUAGUGGGGGACAACAUUCCGAAAGGAAUGCUAAUACCGCAUACGCCCUACGGGGGAAAGCAGGGGAUCUUCGGACCUUGCGCUAAUAGAUGAGCCUAAGUCAGAUUAGCUAGUUGGUGGGGUAAAGGCCUACCAAGGCGACGAUCUGUAGCGGGUCUGAGAGGAUGAUCCGCCACACUGGGACUGAGACACGGCCCAG